ensembl:lncRNA
GGGAGGAGGAAUCAGGAGAGCGAGAUAGAGAGGAAGAGGAAUCAGGAGAGAGAGAUAGUUAGGAGGAGGAAUCAGGAGAGAGAUAGAGAGGAGGAGGAAUCACGAGAGAGAUAUAGUGGAGAAGGAUUCAGGAGAGAGAGAGGAGGAGGAAUCAGGAGAGAUAGAUAGAGAGGAGGAGGAAUCAGGAGAGAGAUAGAGAGGAGGAGGAAUCAGGAGAGAAAGAUAGAGAUGAGGAGGAAUCAGGAGCGAGAUAGAGAGGAGGAGGACUCAGGAGAGAGAGAGAGAUAGAGAGGAGGAGGAAUCAGGAGAGAGAGAUAGAGAUGAGGAGGAAUCAGGAGAGAGAGAUAGAGAUGAGGAGGAAUCCGGAGAGAGAGAUAGAGAGGAGCAGGAAUUAGGAGAGAGAGAUGUAGAGGAGGAGGAAUCAGGAGAGAGAUGGAGAGGAGAAGGAAUCAGGAGAGAGAGAUAGAGAGGAGGAGGAAUCAGGAGAGAGAUUGAGAUGAGAAGAAAUCAGGAGAGAGAGAUGGAGAGGAGGGUGAAUCAGGAGAGAGGGAGAUAGAGAGGAGGAGGAAUCAGGAUAGAGGGAGAUAGAGAGGAGGAGGAAUCAUGAUAGAGAGAUGGAGAGGACGACGAAUCAGGAGAGAGAUAGAGAGGAGGUGGAAUCAGGAGAUAUAUAUAGAGAGGAGGAGGAGUCAGGUAAGAGAGAGAUAGAAACAAGGAGGAAUCAGGAGAGAGGGAAAUGGAGAUCAGGGGGAAUCAGGAGAGAGAUAGAUAGAGACAAUGAUGAUUCAGGAGAGAAAGAGAGAGGAGGAUGAAUCAGGAGGGAGAGAUAGAGAGGAGGAGGAAUCAGGAGAGAGGGAAAUGGAGAGCAGGGGGAAUCAGGAGAGAGAUAGAUAGAGACAAUGAUGAUUCAGGAGAGAAAGAGAGAGGAGGAUGAAUCAGGAGGGAGAGAUAGAGAGGAGGAGGUAUCAGGAGAGAGAUAGAGAGGAGGAGGAAUCAGCAGAGAGAGAAAGAGAGGAGGAGGAAUCAGGAGAGAUAGAGAGAUAGAGAGGAGGAGGAAUCAGGAGAGAGAUAGAUGGAGAGGAGGAGGAAUCAGGAGAGAUAGAGAGGAGGAGGAAUCAGGAUAGAAAGAGAUAGAGAGGAGGAGGAAUCAGGUGAGAGAGAGGAGGAGGAAUCAGAGAGAGAGAUAGAGAGGAGGAUGUAUCAGGAGAGAGAGAAAGAGAGGAGGAGGAAUCAGGAGAGAGAGAGGAGGAGGAAUCAGAGAGAGAGAGAGGAGGAGGAAUCAGGAGAGAGAGAGAUAGAGGGGAGGAGGAAUCAGGAGAGAGGGAGAUAGAGAGGAGGAGGAAUCAGGAGAGAGAGAGGAGGAGGAAUCAGGAGAGAGAGAGGAGGAAUCAGUAGAGAGAGAUAGGAUGUGGACAGUUGGAAGGGAGGAGGGGG